AUUUUAGGGAAGCAUUUCCCAGACUUGCCAUCCAGCUGGCUUCUAGGUGACUAGCUGGUUGGUGGGGACUCGCCCAGGAGGAUCGGGACACUGAAGAUGCAGAAAAGCCCCUGACGCCCGGGAUGUGCUGACCAAGAAGUUUCUCGGAGGCGUCCAUCUGGGGCCACUGUCCUAGGGUGCGAGCCCAAGGGGGUGACGCUGCUUCGAAGACGUUGGAGUCCUUACCCCACGGUCUGGGCCUUGCCCCUCGGAUAUCUUCAUGCCGCCCUCCUUUAUUUCUGUAUUUCUUCUCUAGUGGAAGGAGGACUACAACCUUGCAAGGAAGCUAGCUUUUUGCUUGCAGGGAGCAGGGAUGCUGGACCAGCAGGUGCCUGGCGGAGCUGCCCAUCCAGGCCUAGGUUCCCCAGUGUGGACAGGAAUAGUCAUCACCCAAAGAGCACCGAGACACAAACAUCGGUUUGUUCACGCAGUCAUUUUCUAGGAACUGGGAAGCCACCCUUCAAGAGGACCCACCCCAGCCAGCCCUUGUACAGUUCCUGGCUUUAACAAUCCAGGAAAGACUGCUAGUGGGAUCUGGGACUUUGGUUCCUUGCACCCACACUCUUUUCCCCCUUUAAAAUAUACAGAAUUGUACUUUCUAGGAGGAAAUUGGAGCUUGAGGUAGCAAAAGUCCAGUCCUCAGAGGUCAAGGUUCCCAUGAUUUAUUAGUAGGGCUGACUGUGAGCUGGAACUCCUGCUGUGAGAGUUACCACCAGUAAAGAGGAAGUGGUCUCUUCCCUUCCCUUCCUCACUUUUCCUUUCCCUUUUUGUCUCAGAGCUUCUCUCUGACCUAAAAGCUUUCCCAUUACCAUCAACGUAGAAACUUGCUUCUUCACAUGGGUAUAUUCUCCCUCUUCUGUGCAUUACCUUGUUCCUCAAAACUACCCUUCCUCGAAGGAGGCAUGUAGGACUUAAUGGAGCCUGGUCAGCCACCCAGGCCCCAAUAAAGUCUCUUGUACCUCAGAAUGGGGUAGAAAA
rnacentral:lncRNA from 1 species